GACAGAGGAUGCAAGCGUUAUCCGGAAUGAUUGGGCGUAAAGCGCACGUAGGCGGCUUUUUAAGUCAGGGGUGAAAUCCCGGGGCUCAACCCCGGAACUGCCCUUGAAACUGGAGAGCUAGAAUCUUGGAGAGGCGAGUGGAAUUCCGAGUGUAGAGGUGAAAUUCGUAGAUAUUCGGAAGAACACCAGUGGCGAAGGCGACUCGCUGGACAAGUAUUGACGCUGAGGUGCGAAAGCGUGGGGAGCAAACAGG
rnacentral:rRNA from 1 species